rnacentral:lncRNA from 1 species
CAAUUUGGGGACACUAGAGGACAUUUGGGGUCAAUUUUGGGACAAUUUGGGUCCAUUUGGGGACAAUUUGGGUCCAUUAGUGUCAAUUUUGGGACAAUUUGGGUCAAUUUUGGGACAAUUUGGGGCCAUUUGGGGACAAUUUGGGUCCAUUUGGGUCAAUUUGGGGACAUUUGGGGUCAAUUUGGGUCCAUUUGGGGUCAAUUUUGGGACAACUUAGGUCCAUUUGGGACAAUUUGGGUCCAUUUGGGUCAAUUUUGGGUCCAUUUGGGGACAAUUUGGGUCCAAUUGGGGGCGAUUUGGAUCCGUUUGUGUCAAUUUUGGGACAGUUUGGGUCAAUUUUGGGUCAAUUUGGGACAAUUUGAGUCAAUUUGGGGACAAUUUGGGUUCAUUUGGGUCAAUUUUGGGACAACUUGGGUCCAUUUGGGGACAAUUUGGGUCCAUUUGGGUCAAUUUUGGGACAAUUUGGGGACAAUUUGGGUCCAUUUGGGUCAAUUUGGGGAGAAUUUGGGUCCGUUUUGGGACAAUUUGGGUCAAUUUUGGGACAAUUUGGGAUCAUUUGGGGACAAUUUGGGACCAUUAGAGGACGUUUGGGGUCAAUUUGGGUCCAUUUGGGGUCAAUUUUGGGACAACUUAGGUCCAUUUGGGUCAAUUUGGGACAAUUUGGGUCCAUUUGGGUCAAUUUUGGGACAAUUUGAGUCAAUUUUGGGACAAUUUGGGUCGAUUUGGGUCAAUUUGGGGACAAUUUGGGUCCAUUUGGGGACAAUUUGGGACAACUUGGGUCAAUUUUGGGCCAUUUUGAGGUCACUCCACCCCAUUCCCCCCUUCCUUCCCCCUCAGGUGACACCAGCACCACGUCCCCAACGCCACCCAGCAGUGCCACCAGCGCCGUCCCCGGAGCCGUGGUGACAUUGGGGUGGCACCCAGAGGGGACCUUGGUGCUGGCAGGGGGACCGGGGGGACAAUUGUCCCUAUGGGGUGACAACGGGGUGGUGGCGAGGGGCACGGUGAGUAGCCAGGGUCCCAAUGGCACUUUGGGGUCCCCAGUGUCACUUUGGGGUCCCCAGUGUCACCUUUAGGGUCACGAAUGGCACUUUGGGGUCAUCAAUGGCAUUUUGGGGUCACCAAUGGCACUUUAGGGUCCCUAUUGUCACCUUUGGGGUCACCGAUGGCUUUUUGGGGUCCCCAGUGUCACCUUUAGGGUCACGAAUGGCACUUUGGGGUCAUCAAUGGCAUUUUGGGGUCCCCAUUGUCACCUUUGGGGUCCUAUUGUCACCUUUGGGGUCACCGAUGGCUUUUUGGGGUCCCCAGUGUCACCUUUAGGGUCACCAAUGGCACUUUGGGGUCAUCAAUGGCAUUUUGGGGUCACCAAUGGCACUUUAGGGUCCCUAUUGUCACCUUUGGGGUCACCAUGGCACUUUGGGGUCCCCAGUGUCACCUUUGGGGUCACCGAUGGCACUUUGGGGUCACCAGUGUCACUUUGGGGUCCCUGUUGUCAUUUUUGGGGUCACCAAUGGCUCUUUGGGGUCACCUUUGUCACUUUGGGGG